AAAUCGCUUGGAUGGUGGGGAGGAGCUCGACCCGCGAUGAGACGCACGAUUUAAGUGGGGGUUAGGGUCAAUCUGAGGACGACCAACACGAUUUGAACGUGAAGCUAACUUUGCUCAAUAAUGCAAGUAUAACUCUAUUUGCACCAAAAACACAUGACCAUUCAAAUUCUCUACGAGGUUGCCGGAUGUUGUGAGUUGGAUAAAGCGGUGCUAAUUGAGCACAGAGGUACAAGUGGAUAUUAUACAACAAUGUCUAUCCAUACUAUUUGUAUUGGUUACCUUGCCAAAGAAGCCACCAUGCUCUACUAAUUAACAUUAUCAGAUUUAAUUAAAAUUAUAUAGUAACUAAAAUUACCAGUUUGAUUUUCAUAUGACUUUAAAAUUAAAAUAAACAAAUAAGAGCGUAUGUCAAAUAGAUGUAAAUGAGUAUGUAAGUUUAAGGUUAAAAAAAGAAAUUAGUAUAUGUAUUGGGAAUAUAAAAAGACCUAAUAAAAAAAUGGCUCAUAAGAUCUAAUCAAAAUGGAAAAAAUAUAUUAAAAUAGAAUAGAAAAUAAUCCAUAUCGAAUACAAUAUGAAAAAAAAAGUAACAUACGUUGGCAACAAAAAGGAUGGAUUUGUAGGAGUACAAAUUAAAGUAAAACAUAAUCUUCACUUUUCGAGCUUUGCUCUUAAUUUCACCGUAUGUCCAAACUUUGGGACACUAAUAAUGAUUGAUCAGCAGGGAGGACACCGAAGCAUCAUCAUGAAACAUGAAAGACAUAUUCAACUAUAUUUGAUAAAUUCGUCAAGGAAAUCAAGAAUUUAUGUAAUGAUCAGUUGUAAAUUUAUGAUGUCUUGGAUAAGAAUUCUGAAAAGAUCAAUCAACAAAUUGAACCGCGCUAUUUGUGCUGUUUGGUAAAACAAGAUUGAACCAUAGCAACAUCGGACAGAUUGAACCAAUAAAGACCUAGUCCGAUAAGAAGAUGAUGCUAAAAGUGUAGUUAAAUAUGAGGAAGGGCAUGGAAAACGGACAUGAAAAGUAGACAAGGGUUGACAACUUCAACCAUAUCUCUUGAACACCAUAGUGCAGCUCCAAGAAGAGGGUACACCAUUGAAGAUGUGGGGCCGCCCAGUGACCCAAGAAGGGGAGAGAGAAAGGGGGGAGGGGGAGAUCUUGAUGAAGUUAGCGAAGAAGAUAAAGACGAAAACAACAUCUAAUAGGGUUGAUAGAGUUUAGAAGGGUGGAGACACUGGUGGAAAACUAACCUUUAGUCUCGGUUGGUAAGCCUCAUAGCUCCCGAAGGACCAACCGGGACUAAAGGUCCCCCUCUUUAGUCCCGGGUAUUUCACCCAUGACUAUACCAACCAGGACUAAAAAGGUUCAAAAAAAAUAAAAAAAAGUAGGCUGGCGUCGCGGCGGCGCCACUCCGCCUGCGCCGAGCCCUCGCGCGGGGAGGGAGCUAGGAGGAGGAGGUCGGGGAGGCAGGGAGGGAGGGAGGGAGCAGAGGGAGAGGAGGAGGUGGGGAGGAAGGAAGGGAGCAGAAAGGGAGGAGCGGGAGAGGGAGCAGAGGCACCGAGCGAGUUGAGGGAGAGGAGAGGACGGAGCAGAUAAGGGAGAGAGAGGAGUCGGAGAGAUAAGGGAGGGAGAGGAGCCCUUUUAGUCCCGGUUGGAGCUACCAACCGAGACUAAUUCAUUUUACCCAGUUGGUGACUCCAACUAGGACUAAAAGUACAUCACGGUUGGUGGCUCCAAUCAGGACUAAAAGCACCCUUUUAGUCCCGGUUGGAGCCACCAACCGAGACUAAUUCAUUUUAUCCCAGCUGGUAGCUCCAACCGAGAUUAAAAGCUCUACUUUUAUCCCGGUUGGUGGUUCCAACCGGGAUUAAAAGGGCUCCGACAGACUACAAAAUUUAUACUCGGGACUAAAACUCCUUUAGUCCCGGGUAAAAAAUAAUCAGGACAAAAACGUUGGAUGGAAGUUCUCUUCUCUACUGCUAGCGAGAAAAAUCAACAAGAUCAACAUCUCAACACCAAACCACCUACAAUAUUAAAGACACAAGUCAAAUAAAUAGCCCGGUUGGAAUAACCAGGUUGAGUGGGGCUAUGUUGUAUUCGCUAGCUCCUCUCAACACCAGACUACAUAAAAACUGGUAACUCAUCUAUAUCUUCUCAACACCAGACUACAUAAAAACUGGUAACUCAUCUAUAUCUUCUUCUUAAAGCCUAAGAAUAAUUUGCCACCAUAACUAAGACUAACAAAAUUGAUAGUACAAGAUAAAUUAUUACUUUCUAUUUACAGAAAAAUACUAUGUUUCGCUAUAAGAUAUUUCCUUUUAUCAUGAUGACAAAAAAACAUCUUGAUCUAGGCUAUUUGGACAAAAUAAUGACAA
rnacentral:lncRNA from 1 species